ensembl:misc_RNA Metazoa_SRP Metazoan signal recognition particle RNA
GCCGGGCAUGGUGGCGCGUGCCUGUAAUCCCAGCUACUCAGGAGGCUGAGGCAGGAGAAUCGCUUGAACCCAGGAGGCAGAAGUUGCAGUAAGCUGAGAUCGCACCACAGAACUCCAGCCUGGGUAACAGAGUGAAACUCUGCCUCAA